rnacentral:sRNA from 1 species
UCAAUACCACGGCAAUAUCCGGUGCAAC